rnacentral:SRP_RNA from 1 species
GCUGGGCUUGGUGGCUUGUGCCUGUAGUCCCAGCUACUUGGGAGCCCAGGCAUUCUGGGCUGUAGUGUGCUAUACCAAUCGGUGUCCACACUAAGUUCGGCAUCAAUAUGGUGACCUCCCAGGAGUGGAGGAUGACCAGAUUGUCUGGGGAGGGGUGAACCAGCCCAGGUCGGAAACAGAGCAGGUCAAAACAUCUGUGCUGAUCAGUAGUGGGAUUGCGCCUAUGAAUAGCCACUGCACUCCAGCCUGGGCAACAU